rnacentral:siRNA from 1 species
GUUGCGGCCCGUUUUCACGCC